rnacentral:rRNA from 1 species
GACGAACGCUGGCGGCGUGCCUAAUACAUGCAAGUCGAACGCACUCUCGUUUAGAUUGAAGGAGUUUGCUCCUGAUUGAUAAACAUUUGAGUGAGUGGCGGACGGGUGAGUAACACGUGGGUAACCUGCCCUAAAGUGGGGGAUAACAUUUGGAAACAGAUGCUAAUACCGCAUAAAACCUAACACCGCAUGGUGUAGGGUUGAAAGAUGGUUUCGGCUAUCACUUUAGGAUGGACCCGCGGUGCAUUAGUUAGUUGGUGGGGUAAAGGCUCACCAAGACCGUGAUGCAUAGCCGACCUGAGAGGGUAAUCGGCCACACUGGGACUGAGACACGGCCCAGACUCCUACGGGAGGCAGCAGUAGGGAAUCUUCCACAAUGGACGAAAGUCUGAUGGAGCAACGCCGCGUGAGUGAAGAAGGUUUUCGGAUCGUAAAACUCUGUUGUUGGAGAAGAAUGUAUCUGAUAGUAACUGAUCAGGUAGUGACGGUAUCCAACCAGAAAGCCACGGCUAACUACGUG